rnacentral:rRNA from 1 species
CGGGGGGAGCAAGCGUUGUUCGGAUUUACUGGGCGUAAAGGGCGCGUAGGCGGCCACCGCAAGUCGACUGUGAAAUCUCCGGGCUUAACCCGGAAAGGUCAGCCGAUACUGCGGGGCUAGAGUGCAGAAGGGGCAACUGGAAUUCUCGGUGUAGCGGUGAAAUGCGUAGAUAUCGAGAGGAACACCUGCGGCGAAGGCGGGUUGCUGGGCUGACACUGACGCUGAUGCGCGAAAGCUAGGGGAGCGAACGGGAUUAGAUACCCCGGUAGUCCUAGCCUUAAACGAUGAAUGCUUGGUGUCUGGGGUUUUAUAGUCCCCGGGUGCCGUCGCUAACACUUUAAGCAUUCCGCCUGGGGAGUACGGUCGCAAGACUG